ACGGGACUUAAAUUACAGCCCUGAAGACAUGGGGCGGUACUAGCAGAGCCUCCCAAGCUGCCGGGGUGGCCAGGCCUGGCCGGUGCUGCCUGCAUGCGGAGGUGGAGUCUCCGCUGCUGGAGGUCCCGAGGAACAGGUUAGACAUGCAUCUGCCCGAGAGGCUGGGGUGGCGAGGCAGUGCCGCCGGAGCCCUUCCAGCCCCCUCCUGCAGCCGGCUGGGAAGUAACCUUUGCUCCUCUUUCAGCUCCUGAAGAUAAAGCCAAAUGGGGAGGCACCCUACGUGGAGAUGGCGUUCACCGAGCACAGGCAGUGCGAGUGCAGGCCCCGGCAGGACCUGAUGAGGUUGGGAAGGAGGAGGUCCAAGGGCCGAGGUAAGAGAAGACAAGACAAGAAGAGACGUAAAGACUGUGAACUGUAAGUGAGCAGGGACAGGUAUGGGUGGUGUCUUCUGGGUUUAUUUCUUUGGGAUGAGCAGCUUCAUUAAGCCUUUAGGUCUUUACUGACACUGUGAGCAGUGAGAGGUUUGUGCAGAGCAGAACAGGAAAAAGCAGGGCAGAGGGGAUAGUGCAGUCCCAGGGUUUUCUGGAUCCACGAAUUUCCACUUUCAGCCUCAUCUUGCUGCCUGCUCUGUCCUUCCUGACGUCCUUGGCUGGUUGUUGUUUGGGUUACUCUACCCUUUCCCUCUUUAUAUUUAGCUGACUCUCAAACCGCUUGCUGUAACAGGGCAGGCUGGACUCCUACUGUGGACACUUUUGGGGUAUGGUGCCUGUGGCUGGCACUUCCCUGUUGCAUUUCCCCGUUUUGGCUGAAGCCUGCUCUUCGGUGUUCAGCCAGCACCUACAGCCCCA
rnacentral:lncRNA from 1 species